CCUACGGGAGGCUGCAGUGGGGGAUAUUGCACAAUGGGGGAAACCCUGAUGCAGCGACGCCGCGUGGGUGAAGAAGUAUUUCGGUAUGUAAAGCCCUAUCAGCAGGGAAGAAAGAAGACGGUACCUGACUAAGAAGCCCCGGCUAACUACGUGCCAGCAGCCGCGGUAAUACGUAGGGGGCGAGCGUUAUCCGGAUUCACUGGGUGUAAAGGGAGCGUAGACGGCCGUGCAAGCCAGGAGUGAAAGCCCGGGGCCCAACCCCGGGACUGCUCUUGAAACUGUGCGGCUGGAGUGCGGGAGGGGCAGGCGGAAUGCCUGGUGUAGCGGUGAAAUGCGUAGAUAUCAGGAGGAACACCGGCGGCGAAGGCGGCCUGCUGGACCGCGACUGACGUUGAGGCUCGAAAGCGUGGGGAGCGAACAGGAUUAGAUACCCGGGUAGUC
rnacentral:rRNA from 1 species